AGUUAUUUAUAUAUAUAUAUAUAUAAAUAAAAGCCAAGUAGACAUCUCUCCUUUUUUUAUUAUAUGGAUAGUCUUUUAUGCCAUAUCAACAAUAUACAUUUCAUUUUAAUUUAAACAUUGUUGGAUUACUUGAUUUUGUUCUAUAUACAUGUGGAAUCUAAAAAAAAUUAGUUGAAAUUUUAAUUGUAAAAGUCUUAAAAUAGAUAUCAUGUAUAAAAUCUAAUAUUGAAAGAUUUGGAAUUUGACAUCAAUUUUUCAAGUAAUAAAUAUAAAUUGCUUUUAAAGUUGUAUAUCAUUUUUUGUAAUAUGAAAAUGGAGGAUAGGUAUUAGGAAUAUGGAUGUGAGAGAAGGCAAGGGGGUCAUGACAAAGGAUGAGGGCUGAGAAUAGAGACAAUUGUUGGAGAUGAGAGAUGGAGAGAUUGAGAAUAGGAAUGAGCAUUAGAGAUGAGAAACAAGGGAUCUAAUGAUGAUUUUGAUAGGUGGGUUGAUUUAAUAUUUUCAAUUAUAUAUAGAUAUAGAUAUAUUAAAUCAAAAUUUAUAUUUAAAAUAUUUAAAAUAAAAGUUUAAAUAAUAAAAUGAACUUUAAAAUAUAAAACAAUAAUACAAACCAUGAUGGGAUCAAAGCUACCUCAAAACAACUCAGAAAAGAAUGUUGGUUACUAUUUGGGAUAAGACAAUCUAGUGAGCUUUGUCUUACCAUCCACAACAGUUGUCUUUGACAAUCUCAACCGUUAAGAACAAAAACCUCCCAUGCAAGAUUUUCUUGCAAUUGUCAAAAUCCAAAGUUACAUAAUUGCCAACAUUUCCUUAAUAUACUCAAAUUCUGUACAAAAUGUAAAAUGGUUCAAAAUCACACUUAUAAGAAGAACCUCCUUCGAAGUAGAGCAUCGUUUUCGUAAUUGCAUAUUCCAAAUUCCUUGGGAUUCAGCAUUCAUGCCACCGACUCGGAGUUGACCGACCCAGCCUUUUAAAAGUCAAAGCGCCGCCGUGGGCGUCCUCACCGACACCCUCUUCGUCGCG
rnacentral:lncRNA from 1 species